UACGUAGGGGGCAAGCGUUGUCCGGAAUCAUUGGGCGUAAAGAGCGUGUAGGCGGCCCGGUAAGUCCGCCGUGAAAGUCCAGGGCUCAACCCUGGGAUGCCGGUGGAAACUGUCGGGCUCGAGUCCGGAAGAGGCGAGUGGAAUUCCUGGUGUAGCGGUGAAAUGCGCAGAUAUCAGGAGGAACACCAAUGGCGAAGGCGGCUUUCUGGGACGGUACUGACGCUGAGACGCGAAAGCGUGGGGAGCGAACAGG
rnacentral:rRNA from 1 species